GUGUGAAGUACACUAAGGUGUCUGGCAUCACUGGACUGAAGAAUAUGUGAUAGAGAGAGAAUGUAAGAAGCCUGCAAAGGUCAAAAAUUCAAGGACUUAGGUGAAGAAAUUCAUUCUGGGUCUCAGAGUUAACAUAUAUAUGAAGUGGGAAUCAAAAUCAAUUUUUUCACUUUCAGGUUCCUUAUGAGAAAAGUGCCUUUCCAACAAUGAAGUAAUAUAAAAAAGCAGUUAUUAAGAAUUACAGUGUUCCUGGUUAUUGG
rnacentral:lncRNA from 1 species